rnacentral:rRNA from 1 species
UCCAGACUCCUACGGGAGGCAGCAGUGGGGGAUAUUGCACAAUGGGGGAAACCCUGAUGCAGCGACGCCGCGUGUGGGAAGACGGUCCUCUGGAUUGUAAACCACUGUCCCCAGGGACGAAAAUGACGGUACCUGGGGAGGAAGCUCCGGCUAACUACGUGCCAGCAGCCGCGGUAAUACGUAGGGAGCGAGCGUUGUCCGGAAUUACUGGGUGUAAAGGGAGCGUAGGCGGGAGGAUAAGUUGAAUGUGAAAUCUAUGGGCUCAACCCAUAGCUGCGUUCAAAACUGUUCUUCUUGAGUGAAGUAGAGGCAGGCGGAAUUCCUAGUGUAGCGGUGAAAUGCGUAGAUAUUAGGGGGAACACCAGUGGCGAAGGCGGCCUGCUGGGCUUUUACUGACGCUGAGGCUCGAAAGCGUGGGUAGCAAACAGGAUUAGAUACCCUCGUACC